rnacentral:rRNA from 1 species
GAUGAACGCUGGCGGCGUGCCUAAUACAUGCAAGUCGAGCGAACAGAUAAGGAGCUUGCUCCUUUGACGUUAGCGGCGGACGGGUGAGUAACACGUGGGUAACCUACCUAUAAGACUGGAAUAACUCCGGGAAACCGGGGCUAAUGCCGGAUAACAUUUAGAACCGCAUGGUUCUAAAGUGAAAGAUGGUUUUGCUAUCACUUAUAGAUGGACCCGCGCCGUAUUAGCUAGUUGGUAAGGUAACGGCUUACCAAGGCAACGAUACGUAGCCGACCUGAGAGGGUGAUCGGCCACACUGGAACUGAGACACGGUCCAGACUCCUACGGGAGGCAGCAGUAGGGAAUCUUCCGCAAUGGGCGAAAGCCUGACGGAGCAACGCCGCGUGAGUGAUGAAGGUCUUCGGAUCGUAAAACUCUGUUAUUAGGGAAGAACAAAUGUGUAAGUAACUGUGCACAUCCUGACGGUACCUAAUCAGAAAGCCACGGCUAACUACGUG